AGAGACUGCGCCUGCGCGGGCACGGGACAACCUCUCCGCGAUGACUGCCAGCUCAGUGGAGCAGCUGCGGAAAGAGGGCAAUGAGCUGUUCAAAUGUGGAGACUACGGGGGCGCCCUGGCGGCCUACACUCAGGCCUUGGGUCUGGACGCGACGCCCCAGGACCAGGCCAUUCUGCACCGGAACCGGGCCGCCUGCUACCUCAAGCUGGAAGAUUACGACAAAGCAGAAACAGAGGCAUCCAAAGGUAGGGGAAUGGUGGGCCCUGGUGUGGAGCUGUAGGGCUUCUGUGGUGGGCAAGGACUCUGGGACCGCUGCACCAUCACAUUCUCCUCCUUUGGCCCCAGAGACACAUCUGCCUUCUUUCUUUCCCACUGCCUCGGGCCUUUCCUUUUCUGCAGCUACCCUCACCUUUUCUGAGGCUGAAGCACCGAGCCCCACAUUCGUCCCCCCACCUUCUUCUGGCCUUCCCUCGAGAUCUUUCCCUACUGCUCUUGCCUGGAGACGGUGGCCUCAUGGGUGCUGACAGCGCUCCUGUUUGUGCUCAGCCAUUGAAAAGGAUGGUGGGGAUGUCAAAGCACUCUACCGGCGGAGCCAAGCCCUAGAGAAGCUGGGCCGCCUGGACCAGGCUGUCCUUGACCUGCAGAGAUGUGUGAGCUUGGAGCCCAAGAACAAAGUUUUCCAGGAGGCCUUGCGGAACAUCGGGGGCCAGAUUCAGGAGAAGGUGCGAUAUAUGUCCUCGACGGAUGCCAAAGUGGAACAGAUGUUUCA
rnacentral:sRNA from 1 species